rnacentral:rRNA from 1 species
AGUGGACGCUGGCGGUAGGCCUAACACAUGCAAGUCGAACGGCAGCACAGUAAGAGCUUGCUCUUACGGGUGGCGAGUGGCGGACGGGUGAGGAAUACAUCGGAAUCUACUUUUUCGUGGGGGAUAACGUAGGGAAACUUACGCUAAUACCGCAUACGACCUACGGGUGAAAGCAGGGGAUCUUCGGACCUUGCGCGAUUGAAUGAGCCGAUGUCGGAUUAGCUAGUUGGCGGGGUAAAGGCCCACCAAGGCGACGAUCCGUAGCUGGUCUGAGAGGAUGAUCAGCCACACUGGAACUGAGACACGGUCCAGACUCCUACGGGAGGCAGCAGUGGGGAAUAUUGGACAAUGGGCGCAAGCCUGAUCCAGCCAUGCCGCGUGGGUGAAGAAGGCCUUCGGGUUGUAAAGCCCUUUUGUUGGGAAAGAAAAGCAGCAGGUUAAUACCCCGCUGUUCUGACGGUACCCAAAGAAUAAGCACCGGCUAACUUCGUG